CGAAUAUUUUGUAAAUAACAUAUUAAAUAAAUCUGAAACUAUUUUGAUAUCAAUUCUAAGUGUAAUUACAAUGAAACCAGUGCGCGCAUAUUCGGACGAUUUGACGUUUCGACGUACUUGAUAACAACGUAUUACAACAAUAUAUUCAGAUACAGUGGCUGCAGAAAUUAUGGCCGCAUAACCUUAUUUUAUCACGUCCCUUUAUCACAAACUCUACAUUUCACUUUUAUAGUGGCAAAUUAGUGCAGUCGUAUGAAAGUAUUGCACCGAAUCGUGCAAGAUAUAUUUCGCUCUAAUUAAUUAGCAUUAUAGCACAGACGUUCCAGUUAUUACGUAGGAGACAUAAGAAAUCACGAAAUUGACAGAUCACCGGUGAUCUUUUUGCGUCGCAGUUGCGUUUCACAAAUAAGGAAGAUUUAUAUACUAUGGGUUUGGUUCCCAUGGAGGGGGUGUCGCUGAGGCUCAGCUCAGAGAUGGCCAUGCUGUUACUGUUUUCUCACAUUGGAACACUCUCUACGUUGUUGUUUCGAUGGAUAGAUUCGUCGGCGGCAUCGAUCCGAUCGUAACGUGGUUCCAGGAUUUUGGAAAUGGUCCAAACUUCCGAGUGGAGCCUGUAGAAUUUUAAUUACGCCGGUGGCCAGGACCAGACAACAAAAGGCAGCCGCGUAUUUGGUACACAAGCAAGCCCGAUCAAUUUAUUCAAACAAGAUUUCAUUGAAGCCGUAACGUUUCCUAAUAGAGUCAAACUUCUGAUGGGUGAAUCUAAUUAUCUGAACCUAUACUUCUAUUAUGAAUUGUAUUAUGAAUUGUAAGUAGUGGAGAGUAGUAUUAUGAAUUGUAAGUAGUGGAGAAGAUAGAGCAGUAUUCCUAUUGUAUCAAUUCUAAUUACAUGAAUUCUUUGAUAAGUUCGCACACAGUGAGAGCCAACAACAUAUAUAUGCAGAGUAGAAGCUCCAUUAUCUGAACGUUCCACUAUUUGGACACUUGUCACGUGUAAAGAACUUAAUCCUCUGCAAGAAUGUUUGUUAACAGUCAACGAAGAUAAAGCUUCAGGAACAAUUAAGAGGAUUAGCUGUUAUACUGCUGUUAUAUGUGUUAAAUGUGAUACUAGAAAGAUUGAGGACACCAUUUUUAUUAUAUUACUACAGAUUCAGAAGAAACUCCUUUUCCAUAGAAUACCAGAAUCCUAUGAUCCUGAUAACGUCGACGCUAUAGAACGCUUUUAAUGUGAUGAAUCUUCUUCAGUGGACGUCUUCUUCAGAUGAUGUUAAUGUCGUUUGGCGGAAAAACGCGACGAAGGGAAUUGGCGUAGCUGCUGAUUGCACAGUUUCUCGGUUACAUUGGCGUAACCGGUUCUCCACGACUUCUCGUCGAGUGUCUUUGUGUCGUCGAGGAAUCCGUGCCGUUCAAGCGAUUUUUAUUAAACGACGCGGCUCACAGGGUACAUUGUUUGUCGCGAGCAACGCCACUUCAUCGCCUCUUGUGGGAACAGCCAAUCACGAGCCACCGUAGAAUCUCGCAAUUGCUGACUGAUCAGUAUUUAGCAGUACAUAUAACAACAGUACUUUGCAAAGAACAUUAAAGUGAUCCAGGAAAUUAGCAUUUCUUCUGAUAAACUGCACCUCGUUCGAUGCAUAUAAAAUGUACUGUACCUAUCUGCCAGAAAAUAAAACAAGAUGCAACAAAUUUCUACUGCAAGUAGCUAGAGAAUGGAUAACUGUGGAUUCCAAACAAUGCAGCAUUGCACCUGGCACUUCUGGAAUUUCUAAAACACCUGCUUAUUAUAAUGAUGCAUCCUUCAGGUUUGACAGACGACUAAGAGACCACAUGUUAGAAACAAUAGUUACUGGCAGAAAAACAAAUCUGACUAGAGCGUGUAUAGUAUGCUGUUCAAAAGGAAAACUCAGGAAUUGCACAUCCAAUUAUGAAAUAAUAUCCAGUGACAUGAGAUAAAUUCUCAGGAAAAUUACCGGUCCACAAUGUUGCUGUUACAACAACAAUGGUAGCACCGAUUCGAAUACGCUCUCAGGUUAGUUCGCCUGCAAGUGUAAUAAAAAUGGAGAAAGAAGAAGGAAGCGAAGAGACGCGACAGAGAUCUACCGAUACUGAUUCCUCUCCGUUCAGUCGUAUUUCUUCUCCGUUUUCGACUUGCUGCUCACUUUAACGCGCUGUCUCCGCGCGUCAAUUGCCAACACCUUUCUGCAGACUGCGCUCCAGUUUCUUUCGUUUGCAAGUCUAAUAAAAAACGAGAAAGAAGGAGAAGAAAAAGGAGUAGAAGAAGAAGAAGAAAAGAUAGGGAGAGAAAGAAAGGACGACAAGGAGAGACUUACGGUCCUCGUGGAAUACAGAGGAAACGUGGCGCGUAAAUAGAGCGAAUAAAAGAGGUCGAGUUGAAAUGGGGCUGAAAAUUUGUAAAGAUGAGGAAAAGGGUUUUUUUCGAGUUAAUGAAGGAAUUCUACAGUGGAAUUCAUGUCAUUUCAACGAACGACCAAUUUCAAGAGGAUUCGAUUAUUUCUUCGUUAGCCAUUAAACUAUACAUUGUGCUUAUUUUCACCAACCAGCUGCUUCUUACUCCAUUGCACCGAUAAAAUAGCAAUUUUCUAUCGGACAAAAGGAAAUGUUUCGCGUGGUUUCCAACAACGUUUCAGAGUUCAGGUUAUCGGUAAUCGUCUGGUAAAUAAAAAAUCGUUGAUUCAUGCCAUCUCGUGAUAGAAUCCCUUGGCUUUUGGAGGAUAUCGCGUGAGAGGACAAUUUUGCAAUCGCAGGAAUAUUAUUUGGCGAGCUCGUGCUAUCAUUAGCGAGCAAUUCAUCGUGUCGUGACGGGAAAAUUGACCGUCCAAACACGAAGAAUCGAUAUUCCAUUACGGAGGAUCGGUGGUUGGCCAGAGAGUCUGCGAUAAGAGUUCAACUAUGUAUAUCUUCUUGCAGUUACAUUUGAACUUUUUGUAAUACACCGGUUCACACAAACAGACGAACUCCAGAACAGUCAGACAUAUAGUGGAAUUGUUAGUCGAAUAGCGAACAGUUAGAGAGUCGAAUAGUAACAUUGAGCGAGCCACGAUUACGACAUGCACUAUCUCUGUACUUGUACUUAACAAAACUCUGCCUGUAAUCAAUGAGGAAAGCGGAUUUUCCUGGUCACCUGACGUACUUAUUUCUCGUGUUUUCGUCAACUUUUCCUACGCUCAUGUGGCGCUACAAAUUUAUUCAAAUUUUGAUACUAUUUUAGUCUUCAAAGGAAAUUAAUUGCAUUGUUUAACAUAUAGAAAUUAAAUUGUUAGAUUAUUUGAUUAACUUACUAAAAUAUAUGCAGCCAAUAUAGCUGAGCUCGCUUAUAUCUUCACUUGAUUCUCAGACACAUUUACAUUUGAUCUUCCAAAAUGAACAGCAUCAUUUGACAUACGCAACAUAUCUUGAUAAAUUAUUAACUCAGUAAGUAUAAACUAUACGUAGAAGAUCUCACGUAUACUUUUACUUUAUUCUUAGAUCUAUUCACUUGUUAGUUCACUUUCCAAAAUCACUUAUACUUCUUCGCAAGCUUAUUAACUGUUUGAAGUACAGAAACUAAGUAACAUAUAUGUAGCAUCGUGGACAAAUGGCCUAAGAAAUAUUUGGCGAAUCAUAGACAGUAUUGCGAGAAUCCCCAAGUAUCGUUAGGCCAGAAAGGGCCUGGCAGUUUUACCGGGGAGUCGAGUAGAAAAGUCGUGAAUUGAGAGUUGAGGUGUGAGUUGACAGUCUAGUGGAAUAGUCGUUAGUGGAGAGUCGAGUGGAGUAGUCGUGAAUUGAGAGUCGAGUGGAGUAGCCAAGUUUUGAGUUGACAGUCGAGUGGAGGGGAGUCGAGUUGCGAGGAGUUGAGAGCUGAGUUGCCGAGUUGUUAUGAGUAGUAAACUAUUACAAUAGUUGUGAGUUGUGAAUUAAUUAUUUAGUUGUCUUAGUUAUAGCACAUUACUGUAUUUAGUUCACGUUAAAUAACCACCGUUUUCUGUUUAAUCCAUUGUAAAUAGAUCUAUGGAUCAAUAAACUUAUUAUAUAGGAUAAAUAAAAAAUUCCUAUA
rnacentral:lncRNA from 1 species